UUAGAUCAUCGAAGUCAAGCAUCAUUGGGCGCGGUCAGUACUUGGGUGGGUGACCACCUGGGAACACCGCGUGCCGCUG
rnacentral:rRNA from 1 species